rnacentral:rRNA from 1 species
UACGAAGGGGGCUAGCGUUGCUCGGAAUCACUGGGCGUAAAGGGUGCGUAGGCGGGUCUUUAAGUCAGGGGUGAAAUCCCAGAGCUCAACUCUGGAAUUGCCUUUGAUACUGGGUAUCUCGAGUAUGGAAGAGGUGAGUGGAAUUCCGAGUGUAGAGGUGAAAUUCGUAGAUAUUCGGAGGAACACCAGUGGCGAAGGCGGCUCACUGGUCCAUUACUGACGCUGAGGUGCGAAAGCGUGGGGAGCAAACAGG